GAUUCCACUGAAAAGUAUACUCCAGUCCAACUCUCCUGAUCCCAGCCGGUGGCGCUUUAUAAAUCCCUUUUUGUGAGGAAAAUGCCACAAGAUUGCUUAUAGACGCGCACAAAAGUAUAGGCGAGAACAGAACGAGAGACAACAAAAAUAUCCACAGAGCCUGGAUAAGGCAGAAGGAAAUGAUGAAAGACGCCAAGCCCAGAUAAAAUCAGCUACUUGAUUUCUUCUUGACCAUGCAAAGGGGAGGAAUGUCAGGAAUUCACGGCUGGUUAGAGGACACAGACAUUUCACUUCUUGCCAGUCAAUGGGGCGAAUUAAGGACGUACUGCGGCGUGUGGAAGGAAUAUCACCUUAGGACGGAAGAGAAUCAUUUGGACGUGGAAACCACCUUCGCAGUUUAGUUCCAGAACUUUCAGUAAUGUUUCAAUGUUCUGCUGGUCCAUUGGUCCGUUACCGCUUUACUCGUGCGAUAGAGAGACAUCCAGGGUUUUGCUUCUGUUUUCAGUCCGCAUCGUAGUAAUACAAACGCUGACUUACUUGUACUGAUCUUGCACGCCUCUUGAAUUACUAUUUUAAACGGAAGUAUAUUCAUGUUCACCUUCUUGUUUUUCCAUGCAUUAAUAAAUGAGU